rnacentral:rRNA from 1 species
GAGAUCGGGAUAACACCUGGAAACAGAUGCUAAUACCGGAUAACAACAGAUGAUGCCUAUCAACUGUUUAAAAGAUGGUUCUGCUAUCACUCUUGGAUGGACCUGCGGUGCAUUAGCUAGUUGGUAGGGUAACGGCCUACCAAGGCGAUGAUGCAUAGCCGAGUUGAGANACUGAUCGGCCACAUUGGGACUGAGACACGGCCCAAACUCCUACGGGAGGCAGCAGC